CACCGGGGGUGUGGCAGAGCAGGCAAAGGAAAACAACAUUUCUUUUUCUUGAAACGAGGCUGCCAGGAGGCACACUCAGGCUCAGCAGAGUCAAAGGCCAGCAGAGAUGCAGGAAGCCAAGAGAUCUCAUUAUACAACAUAACAGCCUUUGAUUCUGUGCUGAGCCAAAGAUAGUCCCAGCCACCAGCAAAAAGGCAAAGGUUUAGAGUCUCAUUAAAAGCACACCUACUGCUUCA